GAAAACAAGGUUCGCCAUUGUAGCUUCAAUCUGUUCCACUGUAUCGCUAAUGAUGUGAGAUUCACUGUUGUAGCUUCAAUCUAUUUGACUGCAAUGUUGGGGAAGCGAGAUUCGCCAUCGUAGCUUCAAUCUGUUCCACUACACCGCAAGGAAAUGAGAUUCACCGUUAUGGCUUCAAUCUUUUAAUUGCAAUGUCGGGGAAGUGAGACUCGCUGUUGUAGCUU
rnacentral:lncRNA from 1 species